rnacentral:rRNA from 1 species
UACGUAGGGGGCAAGCGUUGUCCGGAUUUAUUGGGCGUAAAGAGCGUGUAGGCGGCUAGGUAGGUCCGUUGUGAAAACUCGAGGCUCAACCUCGAGACGCCGGUGGAAACCAUCUAGCUAGAGUCCAGAAGAGGAGAGUGGAAUUCCUGGUGUAGCGGUGAAAUGCGCAGAUAUCAGGAAGAACACCCGUGGCGAAGGCGGCUCUCUGGGACGUGACUGACGCUGAGACGCGAAAGCGGGGGGAGCGAACAGG